UGGGGAAUUUUGCACAAUGGGCGCAAGCCUGAUGCAGCGACGCCGCGUGAGGGAUGAAGGCCUUCGGGUUGUAAACCUUUUUCGCUCAUGGUCAAGCCGCAGCUUUGGGUUGUGGUGAGGGUAGUGGGUAAAGAAGCGCCGGCUAACUACGUGCCAGCAGCCGCGGUAAUACGUAGGGCGCGAGCGUUGUCCGGAAUUAUUGGGCGUAAAGAGCUCGUAGGCGGUUUGUCGCGUCUGCUGUGAAAGACCGGGGCUUAACUCCGGGGCUGCAGUGGGUACGGGCAGGCUGGAGUGCGGUAGGGGUAACCGGAAUUCCUGGUGUAGCGGUGGAAUGCGCAGAUAUCAGGAGGAACACCGAUGGCGAAGGCAGGUUACUGGGCCGUUACUGACGCUGAGGAGCGAAAGCAUGGGGAGCGAACAGG
rnacentral:rRNA from 1 species